ensembl:processed_transcript
GUUUGGUGGGCGGGACCUGUUUUGUGGGCGUGGCCGUGGCGGGCUCAAAUGGCGGCGGCGCUGGGCGCCUAGGCCGGCGGGGGCCAUGAGCGCCGCCCGGCCCCAGUUUAGCAUCGAUGAUGCCUUCGAGCUGACCCUGGAGGACGCGGGGCCUGGGCCCGAGUCCAGCGGGGUCGCCCGCUUCGGGCCGCUGCACUUCGAGCGCCGGGCUCGGUUCGAGGUGGCUGAUGAAGACAAGCAGUCCCGGCUACGCUACCAGAACCUGGAAAAUGAUGAGGACGGAACCCAGGCCUCUCCGGAGCCAGAUGGGGGAGUCAGCACCAGGGAUUCAGGGCACAUGUCUAUCCGCAGCUCCCAGUGGUCCUUCAGCACCAUCAGCAGCAGCACACAGCGCUCCUACAACGCCUGCUGCAGGUGAGAGCCUCUUCACUUGGGGUUCAGCUUCCAAGUACCUUCUGCUUCUGCCUGCCAGCCAGCCCCAGCUCCCUGCCUGCUUCACCUCCUUGACCUCCAUCUUGCUCUCCUGCCACCCAGCUGGACCCAACAUCCUUUGAUCCAGAAAAACCGCCGGGUAGUGCUGGCCUCCUUCCUGCUUCUGCUGUUGGGGCUAGGUGUCUCCAGUGCCAUCUUCUUUGUGCCGGGCAUCCUGCUGUUAGUCCCAGGAGUCUACCAUGUGAUCUUCAUCUACUGUGCUGUCAAGGGCCGCCGGGGCUUCCAAUUCUUCUACCUGCCCUAUUUUGAGAAGUGAGCUACAACUGGCCAGUGGCUCACCAGUGAUCCAAGGCCUCAGGUCACCUCCACGCGUCCACAGGGUAUUCCUCCAACCUACACCUGGUUCUGUUCCUUUCACCUGAGGCCCUCUGGGACCCUCACAACCACCAGGCCCCUUUGAAUUUGCUCAGGAAGUUUGGAGCAUGCCAGCCUGGGGAUAUUGCCUCUUACCUGAUGUGUGCCUUAACUUAUUUCUGGGUUCUGGACUCCUGGGUUGGUGUAAUUUUGUGCUAAUAAAAGGGUAAUUACUUC